CCUGAGGCUCCAGAGUCAGAAGGAGGCCAGGCUCCUUGGGCCAAAAGGAAGGAAGAACUUCAUCUCGGCCUCCUUCUACACAGCUUUGGGGCCUCUCUUGCUGGAAGUGACCAAGUUCAGGGCGACUAGGACUCCCUGCUCACCUGAUGGCCGACACAGAGGCCAAGCGGAGGGAGUUGGGCUCCAACAGAAAGAGGAUGCAGAGGUACAACAGCUCUUUGGUGACUUUUGGGGAUGUGGCGGUAUAUUUCACUGAGGCUGAAUGGAAACU